AGCAAGAGACUCACCAUCGCCUA
rnacentral:siRNA from 1 species